rnacentral:rRNA from 1 species
UUUUCCACCGGAGCUUGCUCCACCGGAAAAAGAGGAGUGGCGAACGGGUGAGUAACACGUGGGUAACCUGCCCAUCAGAAGGGGAUAACACUUGGAAACAGGUGCUAAUACCGUAUAACAAUCAAAACCGCAUGGUUUUGAUUUGAAAGGCGCUUUCGGGUGUCGCUGAUGGAUGGACCCGCGGUGCAUUAGCUAGUUGGUGAGGUAACGGCUCACCAAGGCCACGAUGCAUAGCCGACCUGAGAGGGUGAUCGGCCACAUUGGGACUGAGACACGGCCCAAACUCCUACGGGAGGCAGCAGUAGGGAAUCUUCGGCAAUGGACGAAAGUCUGACCGAGCAACGCCGCGUGAGUGAAGAAGGUUUUCGGAUCGUAAAACUCUGUUGUUAGAGAAGAACAAGGAUGAGAGUAACUGUUCAUCCCUUGACGGUAUCUAACCAGAAAGCCACGGCUAACUACGUGCCAGCAGCCGCGGUAAUACGUAGGUGGCAAGCGUUGUCCAGAUUUAUUGGGCGUAAAGCGAGCGCAGGCGGUUUCUUAAGUCUGAUGUGAAAGCCCCCGGCUCAACCGGGGAGGGUCAUUGGAAACUGGGAGACUUGAGUGCAGAAGAGGAGAGUGGAAUUCCAUGUGUAGCGGUGAAAUGCGUAGAUAUAUGGAGGAACACCAGUGGCGAAGGCGGCUCUCUGGUCUGUAACUGACGCUGAGGCUCGAAAGCGUGGGGAG